AUAUUACCGAGACUCCAGUACUAUAGUCUCGUUUUCGAUUUUAAGGUAUUCAAAUCAACGAUCCAUACUGUUAAAAUUGAUCUAGUGUAUUUAAAAUUUUUAGAAAUAAAAUUUUAUAUUUUUUCAAUAUAGUUUACCUUAUGAUCAAAUCAUUUCAAAAUUGUCAAUUUUCAAUGACUACUACGUCGAGUUUGAAGUUUAACGGUGUAGAAGAAUCUAAAUUUCUUCAAAUUUUGAUAGAAAAUACUUUAAACUAUCUAGAUUAAGGUUAACAUUCUUAAUCUUGAAUUUAAAAGUUCUAUACUCAAAUUUUAAAGAUUAUUUAAUUUUUACCGUUCAUUUUGAUAUAAUUUAUUUAGUAAGUAAACGAUGUCGAAAAAACUAAAAUUUUAUUCCUAAAAACUUCAUACAUCCUAUAUCAUUUUUAAUGGUAUGGAUCGUUAAUUUGAAUCUAAGAUCGAAAACAAGAUUAUAGUACUGGAGCUCCGGUACUAUAGAUAGUAUAGUAGCCUAAUUCUUAUUAUACACAUAUAUAUUUCCCUUGACAGUAUUAUUUUCUGUUUUCCAUUCUAUUUUGUAUGUUUUGUAUUAAAAUUGUUGAGAUCGAGCGCGGCUCUAAUGAUAUACCCUAUAUUAUUUUUAAUGGUACGGAUCGUUAAUUUGAACCUAAAAUCGAA
rnacentral:lncRNA from 1 species